UCAAAAACAGAACUGUACCACGAUAAUCAAUAAAGAUUCGAAGCCGAUUGUCAAAGUGACCGUAGCACCUACAGAGAAGAAGUCAUGCAGAAAACCUUGGCACUUUUCCUUGUUGUUUCAAUCGUUAUUUCUGUGGCUAACCUUCCUACAUCCCAUGGAAUUUCUGCCGGAGGCUCGACUUGGAAAAGGGCUUUAGAGGCGAUCAAAGAAAAGAGAGUCUUAUGCAGCGCACUUGUACAGCAUUGCAAGCACGAGUUGAAGGAAGACUCUGAAGCCCAUGCGCCUUUUAAGGAGAGCUGAUGUCCUGCGGCUAACCAUAUAGCUCAUGUAACAUACACAAUGUGAAAACUUUGUCAGAUUUGCAAAACUAUUUCAUUGUACAUUAAGACAGAAUCAAUAAAAAUACCAAGCACGGA